CCCUCCCACAUUUGAUCUCUGGAGGGCACCCACAGUGACCAUUGGCAAUCAAUUCUCAGUCACCUAUUCUACCAAGGCCAUUUGAUUGCUCAGUUUGGCAGACUGGCUAGCUCUAGAAAGAGUCUUCACAGUUUAUUCACUAAAUUGCAUUUGUGAAUAAAAAAACAAACAAAAAAAACUAGCAGCCCCCGGACAAAUAAAUAGUUAAAAAAAAAC